AUGCCGGCGGUGGCGUCACUACCGCCACCGGCGCCGGGGCCGGCCGCAUUGCGUCGCCGGAGGUUCUCCCCCGCGUCGGCGUCUCUGCGUCGCGCCGCAUCCGGAGGGGGCUCGAGCUGGCGGAGCGAGCGGCGACUCAUGUCGGAGCUGGAGCGCACGGUGACGGCCGGCGCCGCGGAGCGCGUCAUCCGCGGUUACGUCGGAACCAAGUCGGAGCGCGCCGCCCUCGCCGCGCUCUCCCGCCUCCUCAUGGACUCCGACCCCCUCGCCGUCCCCUUCUACGAAGCGGUGACCCAGGCCCGGUGGUUCAAGUGGAGCUCGAUCCACGCCGCAGCCGUCGCCGCCUUGCUCGAGGCCAACGGCGCCGCGGAGGAAUCCAGAUCCCUCAUCGCCGACUCCGCCGCGCGCCUCGAGUCCGGCGCCGAUCUGGCCCUCUUCUACUGCGACCUCAUGGCGGCCUUCUCCUCGCGCGGGCUGAAGCGCCGGGCCAUGGAUUUCUACGCGCAGCUCCGGGCGAUGCCGACGCCGCUCGCCGGGGGCGGCAAGACCUACAUGGCCAUGAUUAAAUCCCUGUGCAUGAUGGGCCUCGCCGCGGAGGCCGAGGAGGCGCUCCGGGUGAUGCUGUCUCUGGGGUACCAGCCCGAUGCGUUUCAGUUCGGAUUGGUGGCGAAAUGCUAUGGGAAGGCAGGUCAAUUGGCUGAGAUGGAGAGGGUGAUUGCGUCCAUGUCUGACGCCGGCAUCCGCCUGGGCACCGGUGCGGCGAACAUUGUCCUCUCGUGCUACAGCGCUUGCCGUGAGCACGGAAAGAUGCUAGCGUGGCUGAAGAAGAUGCGAAAAUUGCGUGUCACGCCAACCACGAAAGGUUACAAUUUCGUGCUUAACUCAUGCCCGACGGUGGUGUCGAUGGCUCGCGAAUUGGACCCUUCGCUCCCGCUGUCGGCGGCGCAGUUGGUGAGGAAGCUCAAGUCUGCAUCACCAUGGCCGGCAGAAGCUGAGGUGGUGCAGGAGCUUCUGGCAGCCUCGUCAGUGUUGACCAAGGCGAUGGUUUGGUCAGAAACUGAGGUGAAGCUGAACCUACAUGGGUUCAGUAUAACUUCAGCCUAUGUGCUGAUGCUGCAGUGGGUGGACGCACUGAAAGUGGACCGUACAUUGCCAUUGGAAGUGUCUGUGGUGUGCGGUGUCGGGAAGCACAGCGAUGUCCGGGGCGAGCCCAAAGUGCGGGAGCUGGCACAAGAGGUUCUGAGCAGGACGGGGAGCCCUCUGCGGCUGUCCGCAAGGAACAAAGGCCGGCUCGUGGCGAAGCGAGACAGGGUGAAACAUUGGCUGGCCACUGAGUGGACUUCCAUGGUGCCUGAGGAGAGCACGGAUCAGUCAACCAAUUCAAGUGAUCAGCAACAAUGUUUGCCCAAUCUUUUAAGAAAACUCGGGCAGUUUUUUUCCUCAUUUGUGCCAGUUUCCAGAUGA
rnacentral:rRNA from 1 species